CAGCUUUUCCUGCCACACUGAUUCGGCCUGCAAGGAGAGAAGAAGCAUCUGAACCCUCUGAACUCCAAUUCAGGAAUUUACAAUUGUCUCGGUCUUGGUGGAAGACAAGAGUCCUGUCUCUGGCUGAGGAAAACUAACAUGCCAGCCUGCAAGAUGCUUUUUGUCAUGCUGAGACUGAAGUAUCAGCAUGAAAGUGUAGUUAGGUCAAAAACUGAAGUUUUGGUCCACAACCAAGAAAUUUUCCUUUGUGAACAACUUGAUCGAGAACCGAAUUGUUCGAGAUGGAAGAUGUUCGAGAAACAAGUUUAGUCCUGCUAAAACAACUAGAGGAGGAAGAGAGAACCAGGAACCAUCUAGCAGACAAAGAAUUCCUCUCUAUUCAGGACUCUAGGAAAAGACCCUCAGAACUGAGGCCUGAGCUCCCUGCACCCUGGCUAUAACUGGUAAAACCCGCAAGUAUAUAUUGAGCUAAUGGAUUCCUCUGCAGAGGGGAUUACCCAAAAGAUGGUUAGUGUGUGGCUGACAGAAAGUGGAACCAGGACGUACACAAGGGAACCAGUAACCUUGUCUACUCCUGAGAGUAACCUGGACUCUUUGGGUUGGGCUUUGCAUAGAAUAAAAAAA